rnacentral:rRNA from 1 species
GACGAACCGAGCGAACGUUGUUCGGAAUCACUGGGCUUAAAGGGCGCGUAGGCGGACUAUCAAGUCUGGGGUGAAAUCCCGCGGCUCAACCGUGGAACUGCCUCAGAUACUGACGGUCUCGAGGGAGGUAGGGGCAUGCGGAACUGUAGGUGGAGCGGUGAAAUGCGUUGAUAUCUACAGGAACUCCGGUGGCGAAAGCGGCGUGCUGGACCUCUUCGACGCUGAGGCGCGAAAGCGUAGGGGAGCAAACAGG